rnacentral:rRNA from 1 species
AUUGAACGCUGGCGGCAGGCCUAACACAUGCACGUCGAGCGAGAGGCGGACGGGUGAGUAAUGUCUGGGAAACUGCCAGAUGGAGGGGGAGAACUACUGGAAACGGUAGCUAAGACAGCAUACCCUCAGAUAUGCACCGUUGGGAUUAUCUGGUAGGGGGGGUAACGGCUCACUUAGACGACGAUCCCUAUCUGGUCUGAGAGGAUGACCAGCCACACUGGAACUGAGACACGGUCCAGACUCCUACGGGAGGCAGCAGUGGGGAAUAUUGCACAAUGGGCGCAAGCCUGAUGCAGCCAUGCCGCGUGUGUGAAGAAGGCCUUCGGGUUGUAAAGCACUUUCAGCGGGGAGGCGUUACCCGCAGAAGAAGCACCGGCUAACUCCGUGCCAGCAGCCGCGGUAAUUC